CAGGCGGCCGCGGCGCGACCCCAGCCGGUGCCGGGACAGCCCCGCAGCCUGGGCCGCCGCUCCCCCUCCCCGGAGCCCGGAAUGGAUCCGUCCCGGAAAUAAAUAAAUAAACCCGCGGCUGCUCCGGGUGUGUGCUGCGCGCACCUGAGGCCGACCUGUGAUUCACCGCGGGAGGGAUGGCAGUGACAACGCUCCGGGGAAGUCCACAGUGACUCCUCCGCCAGGACGCCGCUGGUUGUAUAGGAAAAGCACGCGGACGGGAAGCCACACUCACCGAAAACCUCAGUAAACUAAAUUUAUGAGUUUACAUCUGUUCCAUCAAUGACCACGGUGCACACCUGUUUGGCUUCAUGGCCGGCAACUACAGAUCUAGGUAUCCAAGAUCAAGAGGGACAAUUACAUAUUAUAAGCCGCACAGAGAAGAGUAAUCAAGGUGGACAUGAACUUGUGCUAUAUAAGUUAUGGGUUGAAGAACUCUGUGGAAAGUAGAGAAGAAAAAAUUUAGGGAACAAGCAGUAGUUGAAUACAGCUAUGUGAAACUAUGAGAACUAUGUGAAAGAGUGUUUGGAUCCAAAGAUGAAAGAGCUGACACAAGAGUGGAUUUUCUGAGAGCUGUUUGAGCAGAGAAAACUUGAAGGAGAUACAGUGAGUAGAACACAACCUGUAGGUGGUUUGAAGACCUGAGGACUCCAAUACCUCCCAACUCUCAUAUUCUCUAUAGUUUUUCUAGAAAAGCCCAUGUAUUGGGGCAUAACCUAUAAAGAUGAUAGCAACUAAAAUGGAUAAAUCAAUGACAUAAAAUGUUUAUUUCUUCUCUUGAUUAAAUGACAGAUACCCCAAUCUGCAGGCAUCAUAUGUUAUGACUGCCUCCACUCUCUGCAUUUUGAGAAAGCCUCUACAGAAAUUCUCAAAGGAAUGGUGCUAUAGCUUCAGAAACAUUACUGCAAAAAUCAUGGCUCGGAAAGAUCCAUCCAGUGAUUUUGUCCCAGAAACAGGAUUGGAUAUACUUCAGUGAGCUGCCAGGUAUCUGUAAAGCACCUAAAACUUGAGGUAUUGUCUGUUACUUUCAGCUUUACUGGGGAGUGAAGUUCUUUCAGCUUUAUUGUGGAGUGAAGCCUGCUGCACAUAAUGGAGAACACUGGCCCAGUCACUCAAAUCACAAAGGCUAUUUCGUAUGUGCUUCAAAGAUAUAAGACAGGGGUUUUGAUCAAAGCCACAGACCUGCAUUCCUGCUGUGCCUCCAUUCCUGAAUACCACAGACUCUGCCCAGUUUGCUUGAAUGAAUUCUGAGCUGCCACAUGCCUCAGUGAGACAGUGAAAACUUCAACUCAUCAAUGACUGGGUCAAACCACUCUGAAGACAAGCAGCUCUCCCACGUGCUCAACACUAGGACUAUUUCUGAAGCCUUGAUGAGAAUAACUGACUUCCUGAAGGGAAAGUAAGGAGCCUAAACCUGAUUAUGAGCAAGGAGGUAUAAGGAGGGGCAGGUGCGGUUUGAAAAAUGCUUCUGUGAAUCCUAGAGAAGAGGCAGGAUCCAAGGCCAUUUAACAACGUGAAGGUCCUAGAAACUUACCUUUGGAAGCCCCAUCUGACAUACUACCAAACAAAUUAAAACACACCAACAUCCCACAUUACCUUUUUUUCCUCUAAAAUAUAAGUAUUUUAUAUUUUCACUUCAAAUCUCAGUAAUCCUCACACACACUGGGGAAUUCUCAUGAAGUACAAAGAUCUAAAAUAGAAAUUAUUUUCAAAUACGUUUUUGUGAGCAUUAAAUUUAACAAUUAAUGAAGUUGGUAUAUUAUGUUUACAAAUAUGUCUUAUUUCCCUGAAUAAAGCUGUAAGCCACAAUCUGAUUCUAGAAACGUUAAAAUGUGAACCAUGUAUGUGUUCCUGGGUAAAUUAUGGUAUAAAUUUUGAUUCUACAGUUUUCCUGUUGUAGUUUUCAACCAAAAUAUCUCUCAUCUUUGUAGACUCAAACUUGUCAAAAUUCUGUGAAUGUCUCUUCGUGCUUGAGAAACUGGGCAUAAGUGGAAAGGCAGUAUUGUACAGUGCUUGAGAACAUAAAUCCUGGAGCCACUGCCCAUGUUUUUAACCACAAUAUCAGUAGUUUCUAGUUCUGUGAUCUUGGAUAAGUUACUUAACCUCUAAGUACCUUAGUUUCCUAUUCUGUAAAAUGGGGAUAAUAGUACUUACCUCAUAGGACUGUUGCUAGGAUAGUUAGUAUUUUUAAAGUAUUUAAAACAGUGUCUAAUAUUCCAGAAAUGUUAGUCAUGUUACUGUUAUUUUAUACUAACAGAUAAAAUAGUUCUGGAAGAAUCACUCACUUCCCCCAACAAAGCUGCUUGCCCAUUGGAAGCUGUCUUGAAGGAACUGGUUGAACCCCAAAUUUCAGGCAGAUACACCCAUAUAUCAAGCCCUGGUCCAAUAUCCUUAAUUCUACCUUUUCCUUCCCAAAGUUUUUUCUCUAAAAGAGGAAGAAGGGUAAUCCCAAUGCUAAGGAUAACCCCCUUCAGAUUAAAGGUCAGUGACAGAAUCAGAGAGAUGAAGCACGUUUUCUUUCCCCAGAAUAAAUACUAGAGUCUCUUCCCUCUAGUGGCUGAAGUAUACAAUUACAAUGCCCCCAGCCAACUGUCAUUCUUAAAAUCUGUUGUAAUGGAAAUAAUUCAGAGGAUGGUAAACUUAAGUGAAAAGUCAGCUUUAGGCCAGUGGAGAGCUAGGCACAAAACAACAAAACAUUGAGUUUUUUUUAAAAUAAAGCAGUAUUAAACAUUUGCACAGCGUCAUAAUUAUUAACCUCAGCAUCACAAAAAGAGCAACUUUAAUUAAACGCAACCACGUUGUAACUAUU
rnacentral:lncRNA from 10 species